rnacentral:rRNA from 1 species
AAACGAUGUUACUAGCGUUGGGCCUUGAGCUUUAGUGCGCACUAACGCGAUAAGUAGACCGCCUGGGGAGUACGUCGCAAGACUAAACUCAAAUGAUUGACGGGGGCCCGCACAAGCGGUGGAGCAUGUGGUUUAAUUCGAUGCAACGCGAAGAACCUUACCUGGCCUUGACAUACAGAGAACUUUCCAGAGAUGGAUUGGUGCCUUCGGGAACUCUGAUACAGGUGCUGCAUGGCUGUCGUCAGCUCGUGUCGUGAGAUGUUGGGUUAAGUCCCGCAACGAGCGCAACCCUUUUCCUUAUUUGCCAGCACUUCGGGUGGGAACUUUAAGGAUACUGCCAGUGACAAACUGGAGGAAGGCGGGGACGACGUCAAGUCAUCAUGGCCCUUACGGCCAGGGCUACACACGUGCUACAAUGGUCGGUACAAAGGGUUGCUACACAGCGAUGUGAUGCUAAUCUCAAAAAGCCGAUCGUAGUCCGGAUUGGAGUCUGCAACUCGACUCAUGAAGUCGGAAUCGAUAGUAAUCGCGGAUCAGAAUGCCGCGGUGAAUACGUUCCCGGGCCUUGUACACACCGCCCGUCACACCAUGGGAGUUUGUUGCACCAGAAGUAGGUAGUCUAACCGCAAGGAGGACGCUUACCACGGUGUGGCCGAUGAGCUGGGGUGAAGUCGUAACAAGGUAGCCGUAGGGGAACCUGCGGCUGGAACACCUCCUU